UUAUUAUAGCAAGUUGAAACCGAUACCUGAAGUGACGGCGACAUAAGGACAUAACGUUUUGCAGUAAACGUUCCUGACUUAUUUUCUUACCAACGGAGAUCUUUAUCUCGCAGCCAACUGUGAAGCAGGAUGAGACAUCAGCCUGGAUAACCAGCUAGGUGCUCGUAACAUGUUUUGCUUUGGCUAGUGAGUUUGCCCUACUAGGAAAAGAAUUGGUUGUAACAAGCAAUGUCUUGGCCUGAUGGGAAGCCUGUCUGUGAUGGCUACUGAUGGUGUCUCUCCUAUAAAAAACCCCCACGCAAAAGUUGACGUACUCGUCCGCUCAAACCCGAGUGCUGCGGAAAGAGAAGACACAACCAGCCUUGAUGUAUACAUGAUCUGUCACUUUAUUUUCAUCAGUUUAGUUUCUGGGCGUGUUUAUUUCUGUUCUGGAUUACUUAAAGAGUAACUAUAAAUAGAGGUUGGAGGGAAAAAAAACAAUCUGUAUAGACUAUUAAGUGUAUUUUCGAGGUGGAGGGUUAUUUCAGCAUCUCUGAAUGAAUGAUUUGCCUUACAGGGGGCAGUAACUGGAUGAAAACCUUAAGGGACCAUUGGCUCAGGUGAACAGACAUGUUACAGAUCCUGUGAGAGGAACUUUGAACAAAAUCUCUUUUUUUCUUUUUUUCCUUUUCAGUUGGUUGACUCCUCAUUAAUUAAUCAUACCUGAGCAAUAAUCACACACAUGAAAUCGGGGCAAAGUCUGAAAUGGCUACAGAGUAGGGCUGGGUUAUCAUUUAAAUAUUUUUCGAUACCAAUACUGUGACUUCGAUACCGUUUCCUGAAUGAUUUUAAACAAAAAGAGCCUUUUAUUUAUUUUCCAGCUCCUACUACGCGAGCCUCGUCUGUGCGUAACGUAGUAAGAGUUUUUCCUGUGUGUCUCUACGGCGUGUAACGUUACACAGCCAAUCGGCAGCAUUAUAAGAUCUUGGUAACAUGCUGCAUGCUUAUUGGCUCACUGACGCUGAUGAGAUUUACUUGACACUCAGGAGGCAAUUCGGUCGGUUCUUUUAAAAAGUUUUGAAUUCGGUACCCAGCCCUACUACAGAGGGUCUGCCUUCAUCUUAGAAGCACUUGUUAUGUGAUUCAGAUAGAAGCUCUUGAACGCAUCCCUUCCCUGACAUCCUCUCUGCCUCAGUACCAUUAAAACUAACCGCUUAAUGCAUUCAAAUGGAAGUAGGCCACUCCCUCUUCCAUCAGGACAGGUGGAUAUUGUGAGUGUUACUGUAUCACUGUGCCUGCUCACAGCUGAGCUCAUGUAUAUGUAAGUUUGUAUGUGUACUGUACAGAGUAACUUCUCCCUUCUACAAUCAUAUCUUGUGUGAGAUGCAACUGCUUACUCACAAAUACAUUUUUUAUUCUUUAAUUUGACAUGGGUGGGCUGCUCUGACACAAGAGGCUACAGACUUUCUGAGGAGUCUCUGUUUUAUGUAUGAAUUAAAUGGUUUUACAAACGCAACUCGUCAAUUAAUUCCAAGUUCUAUGAGAAGAAGAAACCCGCCGGCAUGUUUCAGAGAGUAAACGGUGGGUCGUUUGCAGACCAGCGGCUGCAUGACCGUUUUUAUUUUUUGUGUGUACAAAAGGGAAAACACCUCUCUGUGUUGCUUUACACCGGGGCAUGUUGGAGGACAGAGCCCCAUUAUGUGCCAUUUCAUCUUUCUGAAAAAUGUUGCAUCAGAACCCCUGCUGAGAUCUGGCAUUUACUACUUAUCUAUUAAUUACUUUGUCUCAAAAAUGUCAUAAAAAUGUCCAUCACAAGUUCCCAGAGUUCAAGGUGAUGUCUUCAAAUGUCUUGCUUUGUUCAGCCAACAGUCCAAAACCCCAAAUAUAUCCAGUUGACUGUUACAGAAGAUGAAGAAAUCCAGAAAAUAUUCACAUUUGAUAGCUGGAAACUAUUCAUUUUGAAUCGAUUUUUUUUUUUUUUUUUUUUUUUUUUUGGAUCGAUUACUCGCUGCAGCUCUGAAAGUGUUAUGUGCUUGAUUUAUCAAACUGCAUUUAUUUAGGAAAAUGUCAGGUUUUAAAGCCCCUGAAAACAGUUCAAACAUAUUUCUCUAAUGAACAUUAAAUGUUCAUGACCAAAUAAGCAACAAUCAAAGUAUGAUAGCUAUUAUUUGUUCAGAGGAAAGACAAAUAACCCAAACUGUUCCAACUUUGGUCACAUUACUUCUUCUGAGAAAGAGGAUGAAGGAACAACGGGAUAACUAGUUAGAAAAAUUGAGUAUUAACUUUUAAUACAACUGUAGAUUUAGUUUCCUCGAUCUGUAACUUUGGAAUCACAUUAUGAAGGGAUAUCUUUAUGGACAGGAGGAAUGAUUUGGAAUAUGGACACCUGGAAAAAUAUGAACCUAUACUUUAAACUAAAUAAACCGAUUGGAUUAUCUGAAAAACGCAUUGUCACAAAACUAGAAGGGCUGUUUUCUUUAGCUCAUGAAAAGAUGUUUUGGAGAUGCAUGUUUUUUUUUGCAUAUAACAGGGUUAUACGGUUUAGUUUACGAUUCAUAAUGAAAUCUAGUUUGUGUGCAUGUCUCGUGUUCACUGAUGUUAGUAAGAGCUGUUUUUAUUGAAUGGAUAUGAAGCUUCAUCCUUGCACCAUGAACAGUCAAAAUACUGGAGGUGUUUAGUGGUUGUUUGACCAAUCAUAAUCAAGUCUGGUGUUAGCCUGAUCAUCUUAAAAUGCAAUAGCUUCUUUUACAUCUAAUGACACAGACGGAAUCACAUUCGGAUAGUGUCUGUGCUUGACAUCUUUGAUCAAACAUGCAUCGAAAUUGAGAAAAUGAAAGCCCUGAAAACUGCAGCUGGAGUUUGGUGCGUUCACACAAACGGAAAGAGACGAGGGCACAUCUUGGGGCUGAGUGGAGGUUUCAGUUUGGAUCAAGUUAAUAUUUGUAAUAGUUUAAGUGGGAGUAGGUGUGUCUUUUAUUUCGUCAUUCCAGAAUGAGUAUGCCUUAGUUCCAUACUUUUAAUUGUGGAAAUCGGUUGUAAAGCAAUGUGUUUUAUGACGACUAAAUUAAAGUUUUUUUAACUGGUGAAAA